CUACUAGAAAGAAGCCAAAGAGUGCCGGCAAUUCGCCAACGGAUUUCGUCAUUGUUUUAGUUAUUUUUCUAAUCCUCGUUAGGUGGAUGCAACGUAUUUUUGGGAGUUACGCUCCGAUUUUCCAGGAAUGCAAUGUGUAAACUUUGUUGAAGUGCCAUGAGUUUUUUAGAGAAGUGGUUUUGGCGGGAAAAUUCCCAGUCUCACUGCCUGUGUCUUUCGAAUGAGGAAAACGAUGAUGAUGUUGAAAGAAGUGUAGAAAAUCGCUUGAUGAAGGUUUACAUAUUGCAAGAAAAAUGAUAAUGAAAGAAGUGUUUAACUGGGCACAAUCAACCUAACCAUCAUAAACAAAGAAAGCUACAACACCUAGCAUUGUACAAGUAAUGCAGAAAAUAUGAAGAUUCAGUAAAUUGAAUUAAGAAUAUACAAUAAAUGUAUAUUUGAAGAAUCUUAAAUUAUCUGAACAAAUUAUCAGAUUCAAAAUUGAACUUUGGCCUUAUAAAAUGUAUGGCAAUUAAACUGAAACUUCAAUUAUUGCAUAUCCGAUGUAACUUUUCAAACUUGUUGGCCUUUUCAUGUUUUAUAUAUUUUAUGUAAGAGCAAAGAUUUAUUAAUAAAAAAUAAUUCAAAUGAA